rnacentral:lncRNA from 1 species
AUAAUGUAAGUCUGACACUACUAAUAUGAAUCGGGAAUAAGGGUAUGCAAAUGGGAAUGAAUGAUACAAUUUGGCGAAACUACGAUGCAAUCCAGACCUUGAUUUCAGCUGUCAUCAUUGCUUUCUGUGAUUGGGAAAAGAGGUAUUAAAGCAACAAUUCACCGGCUAGUUCCUGGCAACAUUUUCCAUUCUUUGGGCCACUUAGUUGUUAGGAAACACAAGCAGGUCGGUAGUAUUUAUAUUUAUAAUAAUUGCUGAUUAUUGGUUUGGGCCUCUGUUUAACUUUUUGCAUGCAGUGAGAGCCGGCAUGCAUGUAAAGAAAUGGACUGAAAUCAGUGUAGAAACAUAAAUCUAUUCCUACAGCUUGGACAGAUCCAUAAUCUUUAAAAUUCUCCAUAGGCAUAAUGAAGUACCAACAUUUACAUCAGCAAUUUUUGGGCCUAAUUAAAUUUGUGAUAAGCUCUUUGGCUGAUUUUAAUCACACUAUCAUCAAUUCACCCAUUGUUUCCAUAGACAUGCAUAAUCUAAUUG